rnacentral:rRNA from 1 species
UUGACCUCGGAUCAGGUAGGGAUACCCGCUGAACUUAAGCAUAUCAAUAAGCGGAGGAAAAGAAACCAACAGGGAUUGCCUCAGUAACGGCGAGUGAAGCGGCAACAGCUCAAAUUUGAAAUCUGGCCUCCUCGGGGUCCGAGUUGUAAUUUGUAGAGGGUGUUUCGGGCGCGAUGCCGGUCUAAGUUUCUUGGAACAGGACGUCUGUAGAGGGUGAGA